rnacentral:rRNA from 1 species
CGAGCACGCGCGUGUGGCAUAUCAAUAAGCGGAGGAAAAGAAACUAACAAGGAUUCCCUUAGUAACGGCGAGUGAAGCGGGAAGAGCUCAAAUUUGAAAUCUUCAAGGUUCUACCUUGACGAAUUGUAGUUUAUAAGAAGUGUUUUCUGUUAGUGGAGUUGGCUAAAAGUUCUUUGGAAUAGGACAUCAUAGAGGGUGAGAAUCCCGUAUUUGGUCAUUCCUCCUAGCGUUGUGAUACACUUUCAACGAGUCGGAUUGUUUGGGAAUGCAGUCCAAAAUGGGUGGUAAAUUUCAUCUAAAGCUAAAUAUUGGCGAGAGACCGAUAGCGAACAAGUACCGUGAGGGAAAGAUGAAAAGAACUUUGAAAAGAGAGUUAAACAGUACGUGAAAUUGUCAAAAGGGAAGCGUUUGACACCAGUGUUGUUUUUCCGAAAAUCAAUUACGAAUGUUUUAUUUUUGAGGAGUUAUGACUUCAUCGGCUUGCUCCUUUCUUUACUGAAACUUUCUUAAUGCACUUUUCGGUUAACAAGUCAACAUCAAUUUCUUUUGUUGUAAAAGGGUAUGAGGAAGGUGGCUUUCUUUUCGGAGAAAGUGUUUAUAGGCCUUGUACCUCUAGCAAUCGGAGAGAUUGAGGUCUGCAGCGUAGAUCCUUCGGGGUUAGAUACGUUUGUGCUAAGUUAUAGCUUUUCAUAGACAACUUGUUGACUAUGUUUAGUCUUGUAGCUUACUCGCUGACGCUAUUUUACCUACGCUUAGGAUGUUGAUGUGAUACUGCGAGCA